rnacentral:rRNA from 1 species
AUUGAACGCUGGCGGCAUGCUUUACACAUGCCAGUCGAACGGUAACAGGCCUUCGGGUGCUGACGAGUGGCGAACGGGUGAGUAAUGCAUCGGAACGUGCCCAGAGGUGGGGGAUAACGCAGCGAAAGCUGUGCUAAUACCGCAUGUGAUCUGAGGAUGAAAGCGGGGGACCAGGCAGCAAUGUUUGGCCUCGCGCCUUUGGAGCGGCCGAUGUCAGAUUAGGUAGUUGGUGGGGUAAAGGCCUACCAAGCCGACGAUCUGUAGCUGGUCUGAGAGGACGACCAGCCACACUGGGACUGAGACACGGCCCAGACUCCUACGGGAGGCAGCAGUGGGGAAUUUUGGACAAUGGGCGCAAGCCUGAUCCAGCAAUGCCGCGUGCGGGAAGAAGGCCUUCGGGUUGUAAACCGCUUUUGUACGGAACGAAAAGGCUCUGGCUAAUACCUGGGGCUGAUGACGGUACCGUAAGAAUAAGCACCGGCUAACUACAUG